UAUUAAAAGCCUAUUUUUUUUUUUGAUCUAUUGAUUUAGAUGGAAAAUUAUUUAGGCAACGGCCAGACAACCGUAGAGAUGGUUUCCACAGAUGAACAGUUUUUUACCCAUCUGUUUGUCUACUAUUAUCCAUCUCACAUUU